rnacentral:rRNA from 1 species
GUGAGGAAUAUUGGUCAAUGGGCGAGAGCCUGAACCAGCCAAGUCGCGUGAAGGAAGAAGGAUCUAUGGUUCGUAAACUUCUUUUGCAGGGGAAUAAAGUGCAGGACGUGUCGUGUUUUGUAUGUACCCUGAGAAUAAGGAUCGGCUAACUCCGUGCCAGCAGCCGCGGUAAUACGGAGGAUCCGAGCGUUAUCCGGAUUUAUUGGGUUUAAAGGGUGCGUAGGUGGUUUGAUAAGUCAGCGGUGAAAGUUUGCAGCUUAACUGUAAAAAUGCCGUUGAAACUGUCGGAAUUGAGUGUAAACGAGGUAGGCGGAAUGCGUGGUGUAGCGGUGAAAUGCAUAGAUAUCACGCAGAACUCCGAUUGCGACGGCAGCUUACUAAGCUACAACUGACUCUGAAGCACGAAAGCGUGGGGAUCAAACAGGAUUAGAUACACCUGUAGUCC